CCCAGAUUCUGUCUGACUCCCAGGAUCUGACCAAGACCUUGGGCUUCCUGCCUACUCACAUUGCGGUUAAAGCUGUUGCCAGGCAGAAGCGGUAGAGCCAUGGCUGUCACAGUCCGAAGAGGAUCAAGGGUCCGACCAGAGAGAGAAGAUAGUUAAUGCCCUCAACCGCCGCUUGUUUGACCCCCCGCGUUACCUGGAGACCGGAGCUUCAAGAAACCUCUACCUGUUUCCACCAGGCAAGACUGGGGUUUUGAAAAUCACUCUGUCUUCUAGAAACAUGCCUGCCUUUCCAUGCUUCAACAAGGCAAAAGCACAACAGAUGAAAAAGCAAGCAAAUGGAGCAAAUGUGGGAUUGACACAGAAAUGAAGACUGCAAAUGAAUGGUAACAAUAUACUCCCAUCAAGGAAGAUAGGGAAUGAUUGAUGAAUGAAUAACUGAAUGUCUUCCAGAAAUAGCAAAUGAAAAUUUAAAGAAUCAGAUACAUUUAAAGAGAGACUUGGUGACUUGGAAUACAUGUCAUGAGGAAUUUCCAAAGAUGCAGCAGAAAGAGACAAAGAUGCAGAGAUACUAAUAAAAUGUAUUGAGAUAUGCUUAAAAGCAUGAAAUGGUACACUUUAAUUUCUAGAAAUAGAAAUUAAAAAGAGUAUGGACAACAUGACCUAAGUUGUAAAUAUGAAUUUUUUAAGGUGACUAAAGUAAAUGAAUCCUCAGUUAUAGAACAAACUACGGAUCAUCACUCAAAACCUGAAAAAAACAUCAGCCACAAGGUUUACAAUGAAAGAUUUAGACUAUGCCGUAACUUGUCAUCAUCAACAUUACAGAGAGAGUUAUUGACAAAUCAAAAAAACAAAGCGAACUAAAACUGCAAUUCUAUCUCUCAUAUUGCUGACAGGAAAACAAGAUGCUAUAGCUGCUCUGAAAAUCAUCAGGCAUUUUGUAUACAUAUAAACAAAUAUGUUCUUUUUCAUGAAAAAAUAGCCUUUAUUAUUAUCACAUGCUAUUUGUUGCUUAGUGCACAAUCUUGUCUCCUACCCCCUGCAAUCCUGUCCCAUAAUUCCAACAAAUCUCUCCAGCCCUUUCUCUAACUUCUCUCACUCUUCCUCAUUCUCUACCUCUCUCACACGUUCUUUGUUAUGUUUUUAAUGUUUUAUUAACAUGUUUUAAAUUUACUCUUUCCUUACAUAUCACAUCCAGACCACAGCUUCCUCUCACUUAUCCCCUCCAAUCCCUCCACCAGCUCCAUUCCUUCUCUGUUUCUCUUCAGAAAAGGUCAGGAUUCCUAUGGAUGUCAACUAAACAUGGUAUAUCAAGUUGCAAUAAGGCCAGGCGCUGCCUUGUAUAUUAAGGCUAGAUGAGGCAACCCAGCAGGAGGAAAGGGUCCCAAGAUCAGGCAGGCAAAAGAGACAGAGACAGCCCUGCUCCCACUGUUAAGAGUCCCACAAGGAGACCAACUACACAAGAACCAGAGAGAGGGCCUAGGUCAGUCCCAUGCAAGCUCUCUUGUUGUUGGUUCAGUCUCUGUGAGCCCCUUGAAGCCAGGUUAGUUGAUUAUGUGGGUUCUCUUGUGAUGAUGUUCUUGUCUCCUCUGGUUCCUACAAUCCCUAUAUCCCUGGCCUCUCCAAGACUUUUGUGAUGAAGGAAUGUUUGGACUUUGUGAAAGGCUUUUUCAGCUGAGGACCUUUUUUCCUGUUUAUUUAUAAUAGUGCAUUACAUUAAUGGAUUUUUGUAUAUUGAACCACCGCUGUAUCCCGUGGAUGGAGCCUACUUGAUUAUGGUGAAUGAUAUUUUUGAUGUGUUCUUGGAUUCAAUUUGCAAGUAUUUUAUUGAGUAUUUUUGCAUCAAUGUUCAUAAGGGAAAUUGGUCUGUAAUUCUCUUUCAUUGUUGAGUCUUUGUGUAGUUUGGGUAUCAGGUGACUGUGGCCCCAUAAAAUGAUUUUGGCAAAUGUUCCUUCUGUUUCUAUGUUGUGGAAUAAUUUGAGGAGUAUUACUAUUAGGUCUUCUUUGAAAGUCUUGUAGAAUUUUCACUAAAACCAUGGCACUGGCUGGGCUUAAAAACAAAAACAAAUAAAAAAACCAGCUAAACAAGUAAAACACAAAAAUCCUUCUAUUGAUUCUUAGUGAAUUUCAUAUCACGCACCCCAUCGCAUAUCCCCAUCCCUUCCUAUCCACCAUCCAUCCUUGCAACCCCCUACAAAAGAAAACAAAAAAUAAAUAAAAACUUAUCAUGGAAGCUAAGAUGUAUCAGUGUGUCACACGUUUACUCUUUUGUCCAAAGAUCAUUGCUUGCAAAUGUUCAUUGCGCUGAAUCAUAGUUCCAGUUUGAGGCCUCUGGCUUCUGCUCCAUCAAUUACAAAUCUUCACUGGGACUCCUCUUGAAUAUCGAGUUGUUGCUCUGUGUCAUGGAGAUCUUGAAACUUUGAUUCUGCAGGACCAGCCCUUUCAUGUGCUCAUAGACAGGGUUCAUAGUUAGGGUACAUGUUGGGGUGGAACAUCAGCUACCACACAAGUUGAGAGACUUUUAAUGACUGUUUCUAUUUCCUAGGGGUAAUAGGACUAUUUCAAUUGUUUGCCUGAUCUUGAUUUAACAAUUUUGUAGAGUACCAGUUUUGAAGUAAGACCUAAUGAUUCUUUGGAUUUCUGUGUCUGUUGUUAGGUCUCCCUUUUCAUUUCUGAUUUUGUUAAUUUGGGUACUGUCUCUCUGCAUUUUAGUUAGUUUGGCUAAAGGUUUGUCUUUCUUCUUGAUUUUCUUGUAGAACCAACUGUUCCUUCCAUUGAUUCCUUGUUUCUAAUUGAUUGAAUUCAGCCCUGAGUUUGAUUAUUUCCUGCCCUCUACUCUUCUUGGGGUGUUUGCUUCUUUUUUCCCUAGAGUUUUCAGGUGUACUUUUAAAUUGCUGGUAUGAGAACUCUCCAAUUUCUUUAUGGAAGGCAUGUAGUACUAUGAACUGUCCUCUUAGCACUGCUUUUACUGUGCCCCAUACAUAAGUUUGGGUAUGUCGUGCCUUCGUUUUCAUUUAAUUCUAGAAAGUCUUUCAUUUCUUUUUUUUUUAUUAUUAACUUGAGUAUUUCUUUUUUUUUAAUUUAGAGAAUACUUUAUUAGUUUUUGUAAUCAAACCCACGUAUAUAAGACCUUACAUAUUUAAUACAGUGUGUUACCCCUGUACAAAUGGAAAAAAACUUAAGUUCAACAUUUCUAGACCAAUAUGGCUGUUAAUUUCUGUACAGUGCCAACUCAACACAGUAAACGGGGAUACUUUUUUCGAAAGUUGACAGCACAGGUAAAGUUUCAAAAAAUUCAAAUUAUAUAUCUGUAUAUAUAUUUAUAUUUAUAUAAAAAGACCAAUAAUAGCAGUGUGUUAUGCAUCAACAGCAGCAACGGCUUUUCCAGGUUCUGCAGUCAUCUGAACAAAACUGUAGAGACAUCCAGCACACUCCAUUAAAAAAAAAAAGUAAAAAAACAAAACCCGAGAAAACAGCACAGUUCUGUUACUCUUGUGGUACCUGGCACCAUUUUUUUUUUAAAUUAGCUUCUCAAUCAUCAUCUGGAAAGAAAACAUUCUGAGCAACAUCAUUAAAAACAGCUCUGAUAAAGCACGGUCAGUACUAUGUAUCAUAAAGCAGGUACAAGCUAUUUUACAUCCACAGAGGUAUGAUACAGUACUGUCCUACAUCUAUAAUACUAGAGGAUACAAUUUAAAAGGCAUUAUUUGAGACUUGAUUCUACUUUUCCAGCAGAGGGCCCAAAGGAUGGUGUGACACAGCUUUGUAAAGAAACAUACUCUAGACAGGAUUUCCUUUCACUAGUGGCACAGUUCUAAGGAUUCAUUCUCUCCAUGAAUGUCAGCUAAAACCGUUAUUAAAAAAAUGAAAUAUCCCUAAAACAAAACCGUAUAACCACCGGAUUCACAUGAAGAUGACAAGCUGGACCUCACCUUACCAACAAGCUAUCAAAUCUGUUAUGUUUAAACAGUGAGACCUCCAAGGAGAUGCCAAGUAGUGCUUCAAAGCUUCGGACCACAAUCAAACACAGCAUCCUUUUCAACAGAAGCAGAAGCUCAUCUGAAUAUGCUCAUGGAUGCUGACAUCAACAUUUAAUCAUCUCCUCACUCAUCCAGGAAGAGGGGGAGAUCAGUUACUACUGUACUUUAUUGUGUUCAACCAAAUCACCAUGUUACAAAAAUAGCAAGCUGCCAUAAUAAAAAAUAAGGCUCCUCUAUCCAGCACCAUAUAGCAUCAUUUUACUUUCAAGCCUAGAAAUUGCACACUUGUAUAUAAACCAAUCGAAGAUGACAAAAUCAUAGAAGAAAACUCCCCUAACCUAAAAAAAGAGAUUCCCAUAGACAUACAAGAAGCGCUCCUAAUUUCUCACUCUGCU